AACUCAUGUUCCACCAACCCACGUUCAAAAUCCACGAAACACUUAUAAUUCACAUUUUUUGUGAUCAGAUCGGCAUAAAAUAUUUCCUUUGUUUUUGUUCUUCUGCAAUCGUAUCCCGUGGAUCUCUUGGAUUCUCCAAAAUCAAUUUAUCAUGCAUGAAAGGGGCCUAAAAUAGAGCGGGGCAUAACUGUGUUGCUGUCUAUCAGUCUAGACGACGGAGGACCACUGCCACCGGCGGCUAAAGCAGCACAUGAACUUGGCUUCUGGUCAGUCUUUUGUGGAUAGUUAUUUAUGUGCAGAGAUGGCCAUAAAUCCCCCGCCAUCAGCUCCACAGGGUCUAUGGGACUUGCUUUGCAGACACCGCUUCUCUCAUUUGUACACCAGCAUAUACUGCUAUUGUAUGAUUAUGUAAUGAGGCUAUAACUUUCUGACAGUUUCUUACGUAAAUAUUUUUUAUGAUUGAGAAAUUCCUUCCUUUUAGUUAGAAUUUUUUUUGUAGAAUUCCUAUGACAAUGCUAUGUAGGAUAGCCAGAUGAUUGCAGUUAUCUGUUUAAGUUGUUGUUGGCAUUUAGUUAUACAAAAAAAAAAAAAAAAAAAUUGUGAAGGGCGUUGAUUUUACCCUGCAUAUUAAACAACUCUACUGGGUCGAAAUGAGGAUGGGAGAAUGGUUAUGAA